CGGGCUCCGGACUCACCUCAGACUCACCUCCAGCCCUGGUCUCCGGCCGGUCAGUGCUUUAGCGCGGUGGGCCGGUACGGCCAGCAACCUCCUGGCGCGCUGCCUUCUCGAGUCCGUCCCGAGCCGCUCCGCGGUGCCCCCUUUUCCCGGUCUCCGUCUCCGUCAGAGCCAAGACCCUGAUGGCCGCAGAGUGCGUGCGAACCUCCCUCGCCAACGCCGCCGCCCCGACCUGAGGGUGAAUUGCACUCAGGACCUUGUGAAUGUGAGAGAGAAAAUAUAAGGAAGCCAAGGCAGGACACUGAUGGGCACGGUGCUGGAAGAAGACCAUGAAGGCACGAAGGUGAAAAGCAAAGCCCACAGACCCCUUUCCUCUGCAAUUGCUAUGACAAGGUAAAAGGAGAGAGUCGGGUGCACACCUGUCACCCCAGCGUUCCGCUUCUGCAAGAUGAGCUCCAGUUUGCGGCCAUCCCGUGCUGCGUGGUGAGUUUAACAUCCGUCUGAGUGACAUCGUGAGACCACAUGUCAGGACACAACACAAACUAAAAGUUAAAACUCUGAUGAUCAUAAUGUUGAAGCAAUGUCUUUAAAAAUCAUCAUUCACCACCAGCAACACAAUAUUGGCUCAUCAGCAGCAUCCCAUAUGGACACGCAGUAAAAUAAGGAAAUGAGGAGAAAUGAAAGUUAAAGCUAUUUAGCAAGCACUCAAGACUUUGCUUGUUUCCUUAUGGGGCUGAUCAGAGAACCACUCAUGUAGCCCACCUGCCUGUGAGGGAUGACGGCUUCAGACUGCUAUUUCAUUUACUUCAUGGGUGCAACAGCCUUCCCAAGAAACAUACUUUGAGAGAAGAACAGAAUAAGUGACACUAUGGCAAGAAGAGACGGGGCAUGAAAGGUUAUAAGGAGUAUCUGUGAGACUCGAGUUUACUGCUCUUCAAUUGGUAGCCAAAUUUUGAAAUAUAACAAUCUGAGAACAGAAAUAAAAGCGGACUCUUUAAAAUUUAAACUGAAGACAAGAUGUUAUAGAAGGUUUAUAAUGAGUGAGAUGAACAAUAUGAAGAAGGCUAUAAGUAAAAGAGAUGUACUUUACAUAAGAAAGGAUUUUGUAUAUUUGUCUUGUUCAAAGGGUAGAGAUAGAUAUACAAGACCAGAAGACCUAGGCACAUCAAGAAGGUGUGCGGAAGUGAUUUUUCAAGAAAUACAUAUGUUUGCUUGUUGGAUUCAAGUUUGUUAUAAAAGGUUUGCAUUUACAGACAUAAAAACUUUCAUUCCUUCUGAUUAUGAUUCUACAAGAGACCUCUGUAAGUAACUUAUUAAAUGUUUUGACUAUCUUAUUUACAAUUAUAAAUCUAAAAGUUACAAAGGGAUAUUAUUAGUCUAUUAGGCUAAAUAUAUUUGAGGGCACUCUAUUUUAUAAACAAAUUGUUUUAUAUGUUUGCCUUUUCCAAUCAUAUAGUUAUUUUGUUGGAGCUCUACAAUUUUUGCCUUUAAAAAAUAUUUGCCUACAAUUGAAAUUGCUUUAUAGAGAAAAGUUAUUAAACUUAAAGGCAUGUGUUUCUUUUCCCCCAAGGUUUCUAGCAGAUCACAGUGAUGUGAUGCAUAUUGUUGUCUAAAUAUAACCAUUCCAAAAUUUUAAUUGGUGACAUUGUAUUGUCACAAUCUUCUUGUUAUAGAAUAUUUUAAAAGCUUUGUCAACAUAACUAAAUGGAAACCAUUAAGUUUGGAAAAGCUACUAACAGGACUCCUCUUGGUGAGCAAAGGAGCAGCUGCCUGGAAAUAUUUUCCAGCCUUUGCUGACUAGGGGGACCCCAACAAUUUCCAUAGUCUUAACCAUAGACGGGCUCCAAUAGUUUUCAUAGGAGACAUCAAUGAAAAUUACUUGUUUGUUAUUAUGUUUACAUUGUUUAAUCAUCAAAGGGUUAAGAUCUAAAUACACUUUUGUGAUAUAUGUACAUUGGUCAUUUUCAAAAGAUAAAAUUAUCUGUGAAAAAAAUGGUUUUACUGAAAAGAUGCUUUUGGAAUCAAACUAACUUAAAGGGCAUGGGGCUGGGGAUUAAGCUCGGUGGGAGCAC